rnacentral:rRNA from 1 species
CAUGCCUUACACAUGCAAGUCGAACGCGAAAGUGUCUUCGGACAUUAGUAGAGUGGCAAACGGGUGAGUAACGCGUGGGAAUAUACCUUAUAGUACGGAAUAGCCUCGGGAAACUGGGAUUAAUACCGUAUACGCCCUUAGGGGGAAAGAUUUAUCGCUAUAAGAUUAGCCCGCGUCAGAUUAGCUAGUUGGUGGGUAACGGCCUACCAAGACGACGAUCUGUAGCUGGUCUGAGAGGACGAUCAGCCACAUUGGGACUGAGACACGGCCCAAACUCCUACGGGAGGCAGCAGUGGGGAAUAUUGGACAAUGGACGAAAGUCUGAUCCAGCAAUGCCGCGUGAGUGAUGAAGGCCUUAGGGUUGUAAAGCUCUUUUAGUGGGGAAGAUAAUGACGGUACCCACAGAAAAAGCACCGGCUAACUUCGUGCCAGCCGCCGCGGUAAAAC